GGUACGCCUGCCAGUGAAUAUUUCAACGGCCGCGGUAUCCUAACCGUGCAAAGGUAGCGUAAUCACUUGUCCCCUAAAUAGGGACCAGUAUGAACGGCUAAAUGAGGACUAAUCUGUCUCCUUUGACUAACCAGUGAAACUGAUCUUUCGGUUAAAAAGCCGAAAUAAACACAUAAGACGAGAAGACCCUGUGGAGCUUUAAAUUAUAACCAAAAUGCCAACACAACACAACACGCCACAUAAUGGCCAAAAAUUUUAAGUUGGGGCGACUUCGGAAAAAAACAAAACUUCCGAGCAUAGAGAGCACCUCUAAUCGAGACUGACAAGUCAAAACAACCAUUGACCCAGUACUACUGAUUAACGAACCAAGUUACCCCAGGGAUAACAGCGCUAUCUUCUUCGAGAGUCCAUAUCGACAAGAAGGUUUACGACCUCGAUGUUGGAUCAGGACACCCAAAUGGUGCAGCAGCUAUUAAAGGUUCGUUUGUUCAACGAUUAAUAGUCCU
rnacentral:rRNA from 1 species